rnacentral:sRNA from 1 species
ACUUAAGUCAAAACUGGUUUUUAAGA